GGUCUCGUGGUCUAGUGGUAUGAUUCUCGCUUUGGGUGCGAGAGGCCCCGCGUUCGAAUCGCGGCGGGACCC
rnacentral:tRNA from 13 species